GAUGCUGUGUAAUGGCUGUGGGAUACCGGAGGAAAGAGCGGGCUCGCAUAUGGAGUGGGACUGGGCUGCCAUCUGUCUGGAAUGGGAUGCACUUGCAACGCCGGGCGGACUGCAGGACAUGAUUGAAGAUCUCAGCUUUUCACUUUUGUCGCCUAUCAGUGUGUCAAGUUCUUCUGCAAAACAAGAAAAAAGCCCAUGACCGACUUACUCUGAACAGAGCUGUAAUCUUCGUAGCUUGCAGCUAGAAUUUUAGUGUUCCUCAGGAGAUGGGGGAGUGGGAUGGUGAACAAAAGGGCUGACCCAUGUAAGAUAAGAACUCUGAAGCCUGAAAUGUUUUUCUAAAUGUUCAUUGCCAAGUGAGUAUGUAAUAAAUUGCAUUUUUGCGGUUAAAGGUUGGAUACUUAUCAGCUGAUUUCAAAUUUUAUUCUAUAGUACUUAUUUCAGUGUUGUUCUUAGCUUAAAGUUUAGUGAGAUGUCCGGGAGAAAGUUUUAUUGGUGAAGCUUCUUUGUGCCUAUUUGGAAGCAUUCACAUAAACCCAAUUCUACUUUAAUUAAUUCUGCUUUUUAUUUUUUCUAUUGUUUUACCAGUCGCUUUAUAACCAGGAAAAAUUCUUAAAUGCUUUCCUAACUCAGCAACUGGGUCUUUCCUCUUCCAUUUCUGAAGCUCCUCCUGCAUCUUAUCGAUUUUGGCUGGAUUCAGAGCCCACAAACAGCCUUUCCGAGAAGAAUUGCCUGACUUGUUUUCAACUUUCUCAAAGCAUUUGUUCAAAGAUAAGUUGUGGCGUACAGAAUUCUUCCAGCCAUCUGGAGCUGUCUGGAAAAACAAAUCCAAUCUAAGAAUGGAACUUCAAGAAAAAAAAACCAAAUAAAUAUAUUUCUCUAUUUUGACUGGUGAGAUUAUAAGAAAAGCUGCUUAUAGGUUAUACUUUCUACCAUAUGAGACUUGUACAAUAGAAGGAAGCCACAAAAAUGUUACAGUCGUGUUGUGUGGGAAGAGAGGAAUCAGAUAAAAUAGUAACUGAUCUUCUAAGCAAGAAGGCUGGCCUUGUCAGAGGGGCUGCUGAACUCUUAAGAGUGAAUUUGCAAAUUACAAGAAUUAAGUGUGUAAAGAAUUAUAUUCUAGAACUGUGAACCAAAAUCUUAUUCUAUUUUGGAACACCUAGAAAAUUUUCAAACACUUAACUGAAGGUCUACGUGCUACCUGGACUCAAAUGAAGUGUCUGGGCAGACUUCAAAGGGAUUUUGGCUGCUACCGUAGGUGUAACUUUGUAUGCUAGCCAAGUAGAUAACCAAAUGGUUUAAUCACAAGCCCUACAGAUGAGAUACAGGUUUCCACAUCUGAUCACGGCAUCUCUUUGCCUUGCAUUUAUUUUUAACUUAGUAUCGGAAGCUGGAAGGUUCUUUGAACUGAACAAUACAUAUAAGCUUCCUUAAAAUGAUUUCUCUAUUUAGGCUGUUUUGGAUCAAUGAGGGAAACAAAAUUCCCUCUUUUCCCUGAGGACAGUUUUGCAUUCAACUGCAAGAAUGGAAAGGAAAGAAAACCUAGCGCAAACCCUCUGUUCAUGCAAUUAAAUUUUUGCGGUCUUUUUAUUUUCCCAAUUGCUUGUAAAAGAACUUUGAAAAUUAAUAUUGCUGUAAGGGGUGAAGAGAGAUAUACCCAGUGAAUGGUCACGCUCAGAUUCUGAUGGGAAAUGCCUGUUAGCUAGUCUGAAAUACUGGUCUUGAAGAAAUGGCACUGUAUCCUUUUAUUGCGUGUAAGUUUUUCUGGUGUUUAUUUGAUUUCACUCAUUUCUGCUUACUUAGUCACGCAGCCAGAAGACGCUGCCCGUCACAUGAAGGCUUUGUCAACUAGUGUGCGCGUUCGUAUCAGAAGAUUCCUAUUGUAAAUUCCUGGUGUGUCACUUCCUCGCCUUUCUUUUGUUUCUACCCUUGUGGCCCACCUGAUGUCAGCAUUUCACUACUCUCUCAGCCAGUUCCACAGAUCAUAUUCAAGUUGCUUUCCGGCAGUUCCAAAAGUCCAUAAAACUGCCUCUCCCGGGUGAGAUGUGGACUUUACUGAGUAAGCUGACCUGAAAGGCUGUUCCUGUGUCUCGCCCU